rnacentral:ncRNA from 2 species
UAUCGGUAUCAAGAAUUUCUGAGAAAAAUCUCAGAAAACCAACCGAGUCAAAACACUACGGUGGUCAAAAAGAUGCGGACUGUUCUUAAGUCAAAAAUGUUUUAUUUU